rnacentral:rRNA from 1 species
UACGGAGGGGGCAAGCGUUAUUCGGAAUUACUGGGCGUAAAGGGCUCGUAGGCGGCCAACUAAGUCAGACGUGAAAUCCCUCGGCUUAACCGGGGAACUGCGUCUGAUACUGGAUGGCUUGAGUUUGGGAGAGGGAUGCGGAAUUCCAGGUGUAGCGGUGAAAUGCGUAGAUAUCUGGAGGAACACCGGUGGCGAAGGCGGCAUCCUGGGCCAACACUGACGCUGAGGCGCGAAAGCCAGGGGAGCAAACGGG